rnacentral:lncRNA from 1 species
CGCUACCACAUACAAAGAAAGUAAUGUAAUUAUCGCAAAAUAUGCAUUUUAAGUAUGAAAAGGAUGAUAAUAUAAUUUUCUAUAUAUUAGAAAAAAUUAAAAUUGUAUAAUUCUACAAGAAAAAUUGAAGAAAUAUGUAGGUUUAAAUGGUUAACUAUAAUUAUUUAUGAAGUAGGUAACGUAUCUUAUGGCAUGGGAAUUUAUUUGUGGAACGUACUUUCGAGAAUGUUAAAAAAAAACAGAUGCUGAGGUGUGGAUGUACCAAAACUAUGUAAAAGAAAUAAUAAGGAUAAUAAUAAUAAUUAUAAUAAUAAUGAUAGUAAUAAAUUAAAAUAAUGACGAUAGUUUCAGUAUGACAAUAAUAAUAAUAAUGGUAAUAACAAUAGUAUUAGUAGUAGUAGUAGUAAUAAUAAUAAUAAUAAUUGAAAUUGUAACAAAUAUUAUAGUGUAAAUAAUAAUGGUAAUAAUAAAUAUGACGUAAAAUAGUUGUGAAAAUAAUAUGAUGUACCUUGUAUGUGGUAGCGAAAGAAUGUAUAAACCUCGCGUUUUCUAAUCUCUUGAGAAUCCGAAAAUCCAAAUGAGCAUAAAAACAUAAAAUAGCUUGAACGUUAGUGUUAUGUAAAAAAGUUAAAGUUGAUGAAUGAACUCUUUUAAGAAAAUCCGAAAUUUCGAUAACUUUCUCAAGUUAAGACUAAAAUUUUAUUUAUUUUAAAAAAUGUGAAGGUUGAUAAUCUUAUUUAGGAUAUCGGUAAUAAGUUUUCAAAGAGUUGACCAAUUGUGGUAGAAAAAAAUUUUUUUUUUUUUUGGUGAUAGCCACGUGUUAUUUGCGAAAGUCGCAGUAUUAAAACUACUUCUAAAGGAUCAACAAAUAACAAGAUAACAUAAAUUCAAUAACUAAGUAAAUUUAUCUAAAAAUAAAUUCAACAACAAGAGUUAGUAUCAUUUUAAAACUCAACAUGACAAGUAUAAAUCGAAUUCAGAGAAGAUAAGAGAUACUAGACUCCAUUUAGGAGUUUGGACUUCUAAUUUGCGUGACUCCGAAGGCUCUGCGAUCCUAGUAGCGUUUGACCCAAUGCUUGGGUCAGAAAAUGAGUUUCGUUAUGAAACUCCAACUCCCGAAUGUACAUGAAAAUAAAAGGUAAACGGAUUAGAAACUUAUCAAAUAGCAAAUAUUUGCGGGUUAUAAUUUGAGAAACAUUUACCAAACAAAGAUCAUCAAGGCUCCAUUAAAUAUAAUUUCAAUGGGGAAAGGACACGAGAGCACUUUGACACACAUCUGGGCAAAGAGGAAACUCAAAUUACCUUAUAUAACUCAUAUAUUCAGUAAUGGUGCAAAACAACCAAAAUACCCAUUUGACUCAAAUAUGCUAGGUUCACGUGGUUAGAGCCAGGGGAAGAGAUGUUCAUUAAAAAGGAACCUAGGUUAAUGACCUAUGACUUUAAAACCCAUUUCUUAAAAUGAGGCAAUCCUCAGAUACUAAGAAAAAUCAGCCACCAAAAUCACAAAUUCAAAAGUAACCACAAGAAGCCUUUUGUUUAGUUGUUGUUAACAUAAAUUAGACUUAAAGCAAUAGUUUUAAGGCCUAGAUAGACAAGCAUUUAUGUAUGAGUUUAGGUGUUAGCCGAGAGGGAGGACAAACGAGACGUACGACCUUGCUGAGAAGAAUAAGCAUUUAGACACACCUACUUGAGGAAUCAAAAUGGGUGGAAAAAAAAAAAAAAAAAGAGCAGAGCAAAACGCCAACGGGCAUACAUGGUAGACUCAAUAUAGCUUCCCACUUCUCCCCUUUUAACACAUAACCAUUUAAAACAAAUUUGAAACUUCAAUCCAUAUGUCACUAUAUACUAGAAAAAGAAACGGGACAACCCGCUACAAUGAUCGUAAAAGUAAAUAUAUCCCCAACUUAACAAGUGGCGAGAUAUACGAGAGAAGAAUGGAAAAUAAAAUGAGUGAUAUGAUUUCAAAUUCCAAUAUUUUCAUAUAACAACUGAAAUAGGAGAUGUUUUUUCGGGGAAAGUUGAAAGAUGGACAACCCCUUCAAUCGCGUAUAAAAGAAACUAAACGAUUCACAUAAUCUUAAUGCUUUUGAAGGAUCAAUUUAAACAAUGCCUUAAAACAGACAUGUACUAAUCCAAAUCUUGUAAAAUAACACGUGGAAACUCAUAAAUAAGUACUCUUAUCCAAAGAGGAUACAGAGAAACACAAAGACACAGGUAUACUUCAGUGAAGAAACUAAAAGAAGAAAAAAAAAAUCAGCAGUACCACACAAAAUAAACCCACUGUUAAUUCCGGUAAAGCUGUAUUGAGCCAAACAUACUACAUCAUUUACAACAACCGAGAUAUUAUAGUAGCCAAUUUACCUAGAAAUACCACUGGCCUACCCACAUUAUAAACAUUGAUUCUUCAUCCAAACAUGGAAAGACUAAAUGGAACCAAAAACGUGUAUCAUGAAAAGGUAAAAACAAAACUAACAUUUGAAUAGAUUCUAGACAAGCUAUGUUGACCAUAUUAGAUUACACUAUUUCCUCCCCGUAGCAUAUAAAUGGACAGCCAAUGCAAGGAUUUUAAUUUUCGAGUCAUAUUCACGGCCAGCAAAACGAGACGUCUAAACGCAAACUUUAUUGAGUCUAGUUAAGCUAAAUUGCCGGCGACAAACAGUUUGUGAACAACACUGCCUAACAAAACAUCUACACACUAUUGUAAUUCAUACUUAGGUUCGUAAACAAACCAAAAGAAUUAACGGACUCAAAUGACCGGUGGAUUAUCAAAACUAUAGCGUAAUCCGGUGGAAACCAAAAAAUUUCCAUCGGACUCCGACUUCACCAAUAUCGGAAAGAAAUAAAAAUUUUGGAAAAACUUUUGCUUCUUCAGAAAGCUGAUCCGAACCUCUUCGAAACUUGCUUUUCUCUCAAAUUUUCUUGCUCUUUUUCUCUCAGAUUUUUCACUUCUUUUUUUUUUUCGCUUCUUAAACUCUCUAUUUUUUCUAUCGAAUUCACUUUCUCUUUCAGAUCUUCCACCUUUUUCUCUCAGAUCUUCUUCUUGUUGUUUUUUUCGAUCUUCUUCAACUUCCCCCUCUUUAUCUUGUUCUCUCUAUUGCUUUCUCUCUUUUUGAUGUUCAUCCCAAUUUUCUUCUCUCUUUUUUCUUGUUCUUUUAGGGUCGAGAGCUCCCUAUUUAUAGGCUAAAAUCGGACUUGAAAGUCCAGAUUUGAAGCCAAAGUUGAAGAAAAACGCAAGAACUAAGAAGAAAAUAUUUGAAAUUCAAAUCCGGAUCUCCAAAAUCCUCCCUUUUCAGAGUUAUGAUGGAAAAUUUCAAAAUCAAAAGCAGGUCGUAUCAUCAAUUUGGGUCUGUUUCUUCUGAUAUUGGGUUUCAUGGGUUGAAGCAAACAGAUAGGGGUGGCAGCCAUGGCUGCCACGACAUGACUAGGUUUCCGUUUGGGGGGUGGGGUAGGUGAGAAAGGGCCUGUAUUUUUUGAGAAAUUGGAAGGGACAAGACCAUGGGGCUCCUUGAGGGACUCAUUCACGUUUCUGAUUUGGAAAAGACUGUCGCUGCUCUUCUUUUCUUUUAGACAGAGAAAGGGACAAGUGAAAGGCUUUAAAUGCAAAGCCCUUUUGAAAUCUUGACCAAAUUUUAAUUCGUCCGAUUUUUCUAAAAUGAUAAUAGUACAAAAGGUUUAUAUAUAUAUGGAAAGUUUGUUUAAAAUUAAUUA